rnacentral:rRNA from 1 species
GACGAACGCUGGCGGCGUGCCUAAUACAUGCAAGUCGAGCGAAUCACUGGGAGCUUGCUCCCGGUGGUUAGCGGCGGACGGGUGAGUAACACGUGGGCAACCUGCCUGUAAGACUGGGAUAACACCGGGAAACCGGUGCUAAUACCGGAUAAUCCUUUCCUGCACAUGCAGGAAAGCUGAAAGUCGGUUUCGGCUGACACUUACAGAUGGGCCCGCGGCGCAUUAGCUAGUUGGUGAGGUAACGGCUCACCAAGGCGACGAUGCGUAGCCGACCUGAGAGGGUGAUCGGCCACACUGGGACUGAGACACGGCCCAGACUCCUACGGGAGGCAGCAGUAGGGAAUCUUCCACAAUGGACGAAAGUCUGAUGGAGCAACGCCGCGUGAGCGAUGAAGGCCUUCGGGUCGUAAAGCUCUGUUGUUAGGGAAGAACAAGUACCGGAGUAACUGCCGGUACCUUGACGGUACCUAACCAGAAAGCCACGGCUAACUACGUGCCAGCCGCCGCUGUAA